rnacentral:piRNA from 1 species
UCUGUCACGUGAUCUCUACAGUUACAGGA